rnacentral:rRNA from 1 species
UACGUAGGGACCAAGCGUUGUUCGGAUUUACUGGGCGUAAAGGGCGCGUAGGCGGCGUGGUAAGUCACUUGUGAAAUCUCUGAGCUUAACUCAGAACGGCCAAGUGAUACUGCUGUGCUAGAGUGCAGAAGGGGCAAUCGGGAAUUCUUGGUGUAGCGGUGAAAUGCGUAGAUAUCAAGAGGAACACCUGAGGUGAAGACGGGUUGCCGGGCUGACACUGACGCUGAUGCGCGAAAGCCAGGGGAGCAAACGGG